AGUGGAAUUUCUGGGUCAUGUAGUAAGUAGCUCUAUUUAACCUUUUGAGAAACUGUUAAACUAAUUUCCAAAGUGGUUACCUGACUUUACAUUUCCACAGCAAU
rnacentral:pre_miRNA from 1 species